UUUUUAUUUAUUUAACUUGAUAUUUGUAAUGUAUAUUAUGAUAGUUUAAAAAAAAAACAAUUCGUGAAAAUUUGCUGUAUCCAAAAACGCUAAACAAAUAAUAUAGCGUACUAAAAAAAAGGUUGGAACAUGGAGAGACAGUCUCUUUGUUCCUCUUUUGGGUUGUCGGAAUCGAGGAUGGGUCGGAAGUUUGUCUUUGUUCUUGGUCUGGUUAAGUCUGUUGUUGUGAGUUUCAGUCUCUGUAAGGGGAAGAUUGGUUGUUUGGGCUCUUAAAUUGUUGAUUCAGUUUGAUUCGAUGGUUGGUGGAAGAAAGAUUGGGGGGGAUUCGACUCAGGGAUGUAAGGAUCCUGUUGGGUGAUAUCUUCGUUUGCUCAGGUUCUAAUAUUAAAUCUGAUUUCGUCUGCAGUCUUGGGUAUCAAGGUGAGGAUUUUUUGGAGAUGUAGUUAUGGAAAUUAUAGUCUUAAUCUUUGGUGGUCUAUUUGUAGGGGAUAUUCAGAGAUUCGGUGAUAGGAUUUGUUUUAGAAAUUUUUGUGAUUCGAAUAUUUCUUCUUUUUCAAGGUUGAGAUUGGGUUGUAGAAUGGAUAUUUAUUCAGUGAAUUGGGUUACUAUGAUGCAUCAAUCAUAAGGUUUUUUGUCCAUUGGUUGUAUCUGAGAGUUGUAGUCUAAUCAGAGUGGUGAUUUUUUCUAGUAGGUGAGUGUCGGUGUUGUGGUUUCUGUAGCGUAUUAUGACUCAACUAGCGCUUAACAAGGGCAAAGCUUUUUGGUUUGUACUUAAACGGUGAAGAUUUUAAACUCUGUCUUGGCUCAAAGAAUUCAUCAAUUUUCUCUAACUUGGGAGGUUGAUGAAUCCGACCAUCCAUAGGAUGAAUUCUUUGGUGGCCAACCUGCCUAGGAUAUGGAAGCUUGAGAAUAGAGUGGUGGGGGAUGAUCUAGGGCAGGGAAUUUUUCUGUUCAACUUUGAAGCAUAAGAUGAUCUUCAGUCUGUGAUGCAGAACGGUCCUUACCAUUUUGAUGGUUGCAUGGUUUCUCUGCUAAGGUAGGAGCCUAUCAUUUUGUCUACUUAUCCAUCUGCUAUCAAUUUUUGGUGAAGGUUGUUGGUAUUCUUAUGCACCUUUGGGAGGUAGAAACCUUAGAAGCAAUCGAUAAGAAGGUUGGUUUAAUCUGGGAGCUAGACGAGGAGUCUAGAAGUAUAUGUGUUAACGUUAAUGGCUUUAAUCCCUUUCUCUUCCAGAUUGGUGGUGCCUUUUGAUACUGGUGAUGAAGUUAUCGUUUCUCUUGAAUAUUAGAAAUUGAUGAGAUUCUAUGAGCAGUGUUCUAGAUUGACUCAUGAGACGAGAACUUAUCCUAAGUUAAAUAAGGUUACUGGUGGUCAUGUUUUUGAGGAGCAAUCCGAUAAGAGGGGUGGUCAGAGGCAAUAAUCUUUGGUUAAGCAAGGGUCGCAAUAUAAUGACAUUUUGUGGGAGAAACCAAUGAAGAAACGAUUCAGGGUCUGGUUCGGGGUCAGAAGAGGAACCUCGAUGAGGAUGAGUCUAGUGAGGCUGGAGGAAAGAGAGGGUCUCAGGCUGUUGGCAGGGAUUCGUUGGGUCAGGUUCUUACUUUUCAUCUCAGCAGAAAGGGGGCUGGGCCGGUUUGGCCUAAACCUUUGUACAAGGCUAAACAAAAUUCAAAUGAGAAGAGGUCGCAGGCUGUUGAUCGUGAUGCUUCUUCGGUUUCAGAGGUUGGAGGUUCUCAGGUGGACUUGGUAAUGGAGAAUUCUCCAAAUUAGGGAGCUGGUAAGGUCUCUGUUCGUUUGGAAUUUUUGGAAGAAACAUAUGAUUUGCUUGAAGAGGGUGAGUAUUAUGAUGGUGUUAUCUCAUAGAACGUUGGUGUUGAACCUGAUCUAGGGACAGCUCUUCUUGGUGAGGAUGCUAGUAAUCCGCAAGGUAACUCUUCUUCUUCUGUUCCGAUAGAGUUGGGUAUGGGUAAUGUAAAUAGGGCUAUGCUGGCUGUUAAUAUAGGGAAUCAGACUGGUAACAGAGUGAAGAUUAAUAGCCCUAAUGUUAUGAAGGUGUUAGUGGUAUUAGGAAAUCUGCUUUGUCUUUGGCUUCUCCGGGGAAACGGUUACUUGCUAAGGCCUUGUCUAACCUGCAGGUGAUGGCAACAAACAGAGGGUGAUGGGUAAACAUGUGUAUAAAGUAACAGACGGUAAAACUUCUGGUGGAGUUUGUCAAGUUAAGAAAGGGAUGGUGACGCUCUCGAAACCACCAGCUCAAACAUGAAGAUAAAAAAAUGUUAUUCUUUUACAAACGUUUUGUUAUAAUAAGUUGUAUACUAUUAAGCCACGCGGGUCUAACGAAGGUUAGCUUUAUUUUUCAUGGAAGAAAUAAACUUUUUAUUCUUUACGAUU